AGAGUUUGAUCMUGGCUCAGGAUGAACGCUAGCGGCAGGCCUAACACAUGCAAGUCGAGGGGCAGCACGGGUAGCAAUACUUGGUGGCGACCGGCGCACGGGUGAGUAACGCGUAUGCAACCUACCUAUAACAGGGGGAUAGCCCGAAGAAAUUCGGAUUAAAACCGCAUAAUAUUAUUGGAUCGCAUGGUUUGAUGAUAAAAGCUAAGGUGGUUAUAGAUGGGCAUGCGUGACAUUAGAUAGUUGGUGAGGUAACGGCUCACCAAGUCGACGAUGUCUAGGGGGCCUGAGAGGGUAGUCCCCCACACUGGUACUGAGACACGGACCAGACUCCUACGGGAGGCAGCAGUGAGGAAYAUUGCGCAAUGGACGAAAGUCUGACGCAGCCAUGCCGCGUGCAGGAUGACGGCCCUAUGGGUUGUAAACUGCUUUUUUAUAGGAAGAAACUCAUCUACGUGUAGGUGACUGACGGUACUAUAUGAAUAAGCAUCGGCUAACUCCGUGCCAGCAGCCGCGGUAAUACGGAGGAUGCAAGYGUUAUCCGGAUUUAUUGGGUUUAAAGGGUGCGUAGGCGGGGAAUUAAGUCAGUGGUGAAAUACUGCAGCUUAACUGYAGCACUGCCAUUGAUACUGAUUUUCUUGAGUGUGGUUGAAGUAGGCGGAAUGUGUAAUGUAGCGGUGAAAUGCUUAGAGAUUACACAGAACACCGAUUGCGUAGGCAGCUUACUAAGCCAUAACUGACGCUGAGGCACGAAAGUGUGGGGAUCGAACAGGAUUAGAUACCCUGGUAGUCC
rnacentral:rRNA from 1 species